UCUACGUAGACCCUACCUAGCAGUAGUACAUAGGCUAUACCAUGUAUACAGUCAGUUCAUGUGCGUGGCAGGAUCACUCACAUUCACAACCUAGGCUAGGACUAGGCCAAAGGUAGAUCUACUACUGUACUAGGUCUGCUGGAUCCGGUGAAAGGCACACGUGCCAUGAUCUACCGCAGGGAUCUUGGAGACGGCACAGGCUAGCACGGAUGUACCGGACAACGCUAUCUCUGUAAUCAGUUAUCAUCAGGAGGUGACAGAGUGAUAUCCCAUGCUGCUACCGGAAAUAUUAUGAUCAGAUGAUACCCCACACCUAUGAUGCAGGUCUAUCUUCCCUCUGGUCAUAUCAUGCAAGAUAGUUUGAUAUCCAUUACUGGCAUUAGCGGCAAUAACACACAUGCAUGCAUACUUUGACAUAGACACGUCACUGAGGUGAAUUACUGCUUAUAAAGUUAGAGUCACUUAUAGCCUAGUAUAGGUGCUAUCUAAGCCUUCUAAUAUCAAUUAUACUCUAUAGCCUCCUCCUAUUCCAACCUGUACAUGCACUGAGGUAGAUCUACUACUAAUACAGUACUUGCAUUGCCCUAACUCACUGCCUGGUGGAAGAGCUGAGGCGCAGGACUGCAUGGAGUUGAACUGCCGCUCAGUAAGGAACUGGCAAUCCUGCAUCUCGAAUGCCUCGGUUCUGUGUUAUUGUAGCUGUAACACGCACUGCUCGAUGAAAUCCGAUCAAGCAAGUGAACGCCACACCGGUCGCUGUGCAGCCCUAGACCUGCGAACACUGGAAUGGUGUACUGGUACAUGGUGCAGGGUGGCGUGACAAACUUGAGUGACGCUAUCGGAUUUCAUUGCGCAGCACUGUAUGCAUAUGUGUAUGUGUGUGCAUGGGUAAGCCCAGGUGCGUUUCUAAAAAAGAACACGCCAAUGACUGCACAAUCAGUGGCAAUACCCGGCCAACAAUAUGUACUAGUAUUACUUCAAAUAAAAUAAUUACCUGAGUCAGUGA